rnacentral:sRNA from 1 species
GCCAGGCAUGGUGGCAUAUACCUGUAAUCCCAGCGACUUGGGAGGCUGAGGCAGGAGGAUCUUGAGUUGAAAGCCAGCCUCAGAAACUUAGCAAGACCCUAAGCAACUCAGGAGACCCUGUUUCUA